ACGGCAGCCAGGGAGUGAGAGAGAGUCUGGAGAAGCUGCAGGAAGCAGCUUCACUUCAGGAGGGUAUCACCACAUUAAACUUCUUACAAAAUAAAAACUCAGGCCACUGAACUAAAAUUUCCAAAGGCACUGACAUUGGCUUGUACACAUACUGGAGGAUAUAAAGAUGACAAUUACCACCCGUCAACAUUGGAAAGAACAUCUUAAACAACUCUGGAACUGUGAAUUCACUGGGACCGGCAUAUUAAAGAGGAUACUCUGGAAUAUGUUGAGCACCUCCCAAUCUUGACAGCCACCUCUCUCCUAAGGCCACCACUGACGAGGAGAUCUAACACCAUGGUCCUGCUAAAAUCAGCUUCAGUGGAUUGGUAACUGUGUCUGGAUGGCUGAACAUUCCACCAAUUUCUGCUUAGCCAACUCUCAAAUUUUCAGUGUUCUAGGGUGGACCGUGGAAGUGUUACAAAGACACACUGAAGCUCUCCUUGAAACAAGAUGCCAUUGUCUGUUUAAAAACUCAAGGUAAUAGGCAAAAAUUUCUUUGUAUAGUCAAUAAACUUCUGCACAGGUCUC